CCCUCCGGUGCCUACUGAGCUGAUAUCAGUUCUCUUGUACACACUGGCUCAGUUCAGCAGGAACAGGAGU
rnacentral:pre_miRNA from 1 species